CCCAGUGCACCCCCGACCCCUCAGGCUAUGAGGAGCUGGCUGUUAAAUGAGAUAAGGAAGGAGAGGCAAACCCUGGGAGGCAGGGCAGUGUUUCUUUUUCUGCACACCAAUGACUCAGCUGUGAUAACUCCCUCCGGGGUAGCAGCAGCACAGUCCCACCCAGCCUGAGGGCUCACCUCUGCUGAUGGGCCAUCAUGGACUGAAUGGCCCCAGCACAAUGGGCAGCUGCAAGGACUGAGACCAUCAAGGCUCCCAAAAUAUCCCAUGACUCCCAGGAUGACAUCGUUCCAUUGUGAAACUGCCCGCCCUGGGGGAGGGGCUGAGCGUUCCCACCUGAACCUGAGCAUAUAAAAUCUGAGUUUGGGGCCUUCUGGCAACACUUAACAGAUCCAGGGCAGGAGCAGAACUCCAACAGGACUGUGACCACUGCUGUUGACAAGACUGCUCCCAUCACUUGGACAGGACUGUGUCCACCACUCUGACCAACAGGAUUUCCCACUCCCAAACCUUGGCCAGAUGGAGGAGGAGGCUGUGAGGAAGAGGAAGAUGCCCCGGAACACCCAGGCAGACAAGGAGCUGAGGACAGAGCCCAGGG